CCAAUAGCGUAUAUUAAAGUUGUUGCAGUUAAAAAGCUCGUAGUUGAAUUUCGGGAUCAGAUUGUCGGUCGUGCCUCGGUACGAACUGGUAUUAUUGGUUCCUCCCUUCUGAAGAACCGCGAUGUCAUUAAUUUGGUGUCGUGGGGAAUCAGGACUGUUACUCUGAAAAAAUUAGAGUGUUUAAAGCAGGCUUACGCUUGAAUACAUUAGCAUGGAAUAAUGAAAUAGGACGUUUGAUUCUAUUUUGUUGGUUUCUAGGAUCGACGUAAUGAUUAAUAGGGAUAGUUGGGGGCAUUAGUAUUCAAUUGUCAGAGGUGAAAUUCUUGGAUUUAUUGAAGACUAACUACUGCGAAAGCAUUUGCCAAGGAUGUUUUCAUUAAUCAAGAACGAAAGUUAGGGGAUCGAAGACGAUCAGAUACCGUCGUAGUCUUAACCAUAAACUAUGCCGACUAGGGAUCGGAUGAUGUUGAUUUUUUAAUGACUCAUUCGGCGCCUUACG
rnacentral:rRNA from 1 species